UUAGAGUUUGAUCCUGGCUCAGGACGAACGCUGGCGGCGUGCCUAACACAUGCAAGUCGAACGGGGAUAGAUUGAAGGUUUACCUGAUAUCUAUUCUAGUGGCGGACGGGUGAGUAACGCGUGAGCAAUCUGCCUUGUACUGGGGGAUAACGUCGAGAAAUCGGCGCUAAUACCGCAUAAUACUAUUAGAUCGCAUGGUCAUAUAGUCAAAACUCCGGUGGUACAAGAUGAGCUCGCGUCCAAUUAGCUAGUUGGUGAGGUAAUGGCCCACCAAGGCGACGAUUGGUAGCCGAACUGAGAGGUUGAUCGGCCACAUUGGGACUGAGACACGGCCCAGACUCCUACGGGAGGCAGCAGUGGGGAAUAUUGGACAAUGGAUGGAAAUCUGAUCCAGCCAUGCCGCGUGCAGGAAGACGGCCUUAUGGGUUGUAAACUGCUUUUAUACGGGAGCAAUAAGGGUUACGAGUAAUCCGAUGAGAGUACUGUAUGAAUAAGGAUCGGCUAACUCCGUGCCAGCAGCCGCGGUAAUACGGAGGAUCCGAGCGUUAUCCGGAAUUAUUGGGUUUAAAGGGUGCGUAGGCGGCCAUUUAAGUCAGCGGUGAAAUUUUGCAGCUUAACUGUAACAGUGCCGUUGAUACUGUUUGGCUAGGAUUUGGUUGUAGUGUGCGGAAUGUGUGGUGUAGCGGUGAAAUGCUUAGAUAUCACACAGAACACCGAUUGCGAAGGCAGCACACUAAGUCAUUAUUGACGCUGAGGCACGAAAGUGUGGGGAUCAAACAGGAUUAGAUACCCUGGUAGUCCACACUGUAAACGAUGAUAACUCGCUGUCGGCGAUACACAGUCGGUGGCCAAGCGAAAGCAUUAAGUUAUCCACCUGGGGAGUACGCCCGCAAGGUUGAAACUCAAAGGAAAAGACGGGGGCCCGCACAAGCGGAGGAACAUGUGGUUUAAUUCGAUGAUACGCGAGGAACCUUACCCGGGCUCGAACGGUGCAUGAAUAUACGAGAGAUUGUAUAGUCCUUCGGGACAUGUAUCGAGGUGCUGCAUGGUUGUCGUCAGCUCGUGCCGUGAGGUGUCGGCUUAAGUGCCAUAACGGGCGCAACCCUUGUCAUUAGUUGCCAUCAGGUCAAGCUGGGGACUUUAAUGAGACUGCCACCGUAAGGUGUGAGGAAGGGGGGGAGGACGUCAAAUCAGCACGGCCCUUAUGUCCGGGGCGACACACGUGAUACAAUGGGAGGUACAGAGGGCAGCUAUCCGGUGACGGAAUGCUAAUCUCCAAAACCUUUCUCAGUUCGGAUUGGAGUGUGCAACUCGACUCCAUGAAGGUGGAUUCGCUAGUAAUCGCGCAUCAGCCAUGGCGC
rnacentral:rRNA from 1 species